rnacentral:rRNA from 1 species
ACCAGUAACCCAGGAGUACUGUAUGUGGCCCAUCUCAUCUGAUCUUGGAGGCCAAACAGAAUCGUGCCUGAUUAGUACCUGUAUGGGAGACUACCUGGGAACACAGGGUGCUGGAU